UCUGGGACAAGCCCUGGAAACGGGGUCUAAUACCGGAUACAACACUCUCGGGCAUCCGAUGAGUGUGGAAAGCUCCGGCGGUGAAGGAUGAGCCCGCGGCCUAUCAGCUUGUUGGUGAGGUAAUGGCUCACCAAGGCUACGACGGGUAGCCGGCCUGAGAGGGCGACCGGCCACACUGGGACUGAGACACGGCCCAGACUCCUACGGGAGGCAGCAGUGGGGAAUAUUGCACAAUGGGCGAAAGCCUGAUGCAGCGACGCCGCGUGAGGGAUGACGGCCUUCGGGUUGUAAACCUCUUUCAGCAGGGAAGAAGCGAAAGUGACGGUACCUGCAGAAGAAGCGCCGGCUAACUACGUGCCAGCAGCCGCGGUAAUACGUAGGGCGCGAGCGUUGUCCGGAAUUAUUGGGCGUAAAGAGCUCGUAGGCGGUCUGUCGCGUCGGAUGUGAAAGCCCGGGGCUUAACCCCGGGUCUGCAUUCGAUACGGGCAGACUAGAGUGUGGUAGGGGAGAUCGGAAUUCCUGGGUGUAGCGGUGAAAUGCGCAGAUAUCAGGAGGAACCCCGGUGGCGGAAGGCGGAUCUCUGGGCCAUUACUGACGCUGAGGAGCGAAAGCGUGGGGGAGCGAAACAGGAUUAGAUACCCUGGUAGUCCACGCCGUAA
rnacentral:rRNA from 1 species